CUUACUUUUUGACACUGCAUAUUAAUAAUAUCUUUCUUGAGACAAUUAUUUAACCAGUUAGGUCUGAAGCAUAUUCUUACACAUAUGCAUUCCCAAGUCUUUGGACAAUUAUUAUUUUUACCCCCCUCAGAUUACAUUUGCCUUUCUAAUUGCAUUACUGAGUUCCCUGGCCAUACCAAAGGCCACACUCUGGAGUUUAUACUCCGAUUAAUCUUCUCCACAGAUACUGUUACAUGAGUCAGUGUUUUUUUUUACAUACUGCUAUUUCUUUUGUAUUUCUGCAGUGAGUAGAUGAUUGAAUCUUUGUUCGCUUCUUUACUUCCCUACUGACUGAUGAAAAUUCUUGCCCUUACAUCAUGACAUUGCUUCAAUACACCAUGGCAUGGUAAUGUUUAAUCACAGCUGUGGAAUUUCUAAGUGCGCUAUGAUGACAUACUAGAGAGUAAGAAUGAUAGUUACUUGUUUGUAGCCCUUCCUGAAAAAAAAUCCCAGAGUGCAUACUAAACUUAACAAACCAAUUACGAACUAUUAUAUUGAAGGAAUUACAUCACUCAUCAUUGAAAUGCAGCUACCUCAGGGAGAAGGCAAGAAACAUUUUAAUAGUGUACAGAAGUAUUUCAACACUUCAGGAGAGAAAAUGAAUAAUACCAUAAUCAACUGAGCAGAAAGAGAAGGUUUAGUUGAAGGAGUGACUUUAGUGGGGAGGAGGUCUCUGGUCCCACCUACUGCCUUGAGCCGACCCAGCUCUGGAAGCAGACCAGGCUGCUCAGGGUGUUCACCAGGCUGGUCUUGAAACCCUCUGAAGAUGGAGCCUGGACAACCUCACUGGCAAACUGCUCCACUGCCUGACUCUCCUCAGGGAGAAGUAAAAGGAAAAAAAAAAAGACAGAAAGAAGAAACUAAUAUAGAAAGUGAGAAGGAGCCUGAAGAUUAGCUUCUUUCUGGCUGAAAGAACCUGAUCUGCAGUCAAAAUAGUGGAAGAAAGAAGGGAAAAGAUCAAGAACUGCCAGAGUUUAUAUCUGCAGGCCCUGUGACCUGAUGAGGUACAAGAGGAGAUGCCUGGACAACAGCAUAAGAACAGGACAAGCAUGAAGAGACAUUGCUAAAACAUCUUCUCAUCUUCCCAUACCUACAAGUGAUGAAAGGAACUGUAGUUUUCUGACUGACUCUUGUUGCCCAAAAUUGCCUGCCUGAGCAGCAUCCAUCCAGAAUACCUAAACCAGCCUUUCCCUUCUGAUGGUGGGGGAGGAGGACUGUCGCAGCUCUGGCACAGGGAGGGGCAGCUUUGGGCUCUCUCUGGAUGACCAUCUGCAAAUGUUGGUGUACGGAAGCUGUAGAGUGGGGAGGGAGAAGUAUGGGGAGGGUUGCACUUCCUGCUGAAGACAUCCAAAGAUGUGUGGAGUAUUUGACACAGUCUUGGAGAGGCCUGUAGCAUUAGGGCCUAUACAAGGGCCUGACUCGUUUUCUGGUGAAGCAGUAGCAAAGAUCCUUAAACCUACCAUUACCUAAACCAUUAAACCUACCAUAACCACCUCCAUCAAUAUGAGGGGAUUAGGCAGUCCAUUCCCUCAUUUACAGCAGAAUCAAUAGCAUCAUGGUUGUUCUUGACAGAUACCUAUGUGGUAUGUCCUUAAAAUAUCGAUGAUGUAGACUCAGUAAUCUAUUACAGGCAAUCUAUUACAAGGCAAAUAAUAGGCAAUCUAUUACACUUCCACUUUGUCCUUAAAAUUAGAAAGCUCUUUUCAAAAUGCCUACUCUAAGUAUCUUUCAUUUGAAUUUAAGCCUGACUCCUUGUUGUCUUCACCAAAGACACCAAGAAAAGAAAUUACUCCUUGCAAUCAAAGUUCAUUAUCAUGUCUGUCACUUACAUUACCUACCUUUGAGUUAUCUGUUAAGGAUUACAUAUAAAUAUAUAUUUAAAUAUAUUGUCUUUAAAUAAAUAAAUAAAUACUGAAAAGCAUUUUACUCAAAGGUUACGUGUUAAAAUCUACAGCAAGGGCUGUACAAAAGCUCCUUUGCAAAUACAACUAUUAUGUAGCGCUUAAUUACUUGCUACCAAUUUGAAUAGAUGCUGCAGUUAAAUAUGGUCACACCCGAUUCACAACAUAUGUGCCAGAACAAGAGAAAAACAAUUAGUCCUUCUGUUCUAUUCAAAUCACAUUUACUGUGGAGAAAAAAAGUUUCUUUCUCCAUGCAGGAAGAGUUCUAAAAGGGAUUCUUUUUCUCUCUAGCUAUGCCAACAUUCCUUUCACAUUAGGAAACUUGAACAGAUUUAAGGCCUCAUUCAAAGCACAGUUUGUAGUACAAACAUGCUACAGUUGUCAACACACAAUGCACAAACACAUGGGCAAAAAUAGACAGUGGAGCGGACGCGAGCCCUUAUUGCUAAACUGCUUGUGGGAGGGGGGAAUAAAACUAUUUUUAUAAACAGCCAGCCAAGCUCUUCGAAUUCUCAAAAAGUCUAUAUUUGGAGUAAUUAUAUGACUAUGUUACAUCUUGGCUAAUUGUAGCAGUCAUGUUAAAUGAUUAAAUUAUUCAGCCAUUUCCCUUUGUGUGAGAAAUGGCCCCAGAUGGUCACCCUCAUCCAUUUCAUACCAGCACAGUGCAGCAGCACUGCUUAUUAAGAGCAUAUGGGGGAAAUAUUUUAAGUGCAGUGUAAGUAGCUUUAUACUAUAGUUCAUUUUAAAGAAAUAAACAAACUGCAGUAAUGCCUUGAAUUUUUUAUUCCACAAAAGUUCUAUAAAAUUCUUGUUAUAUCCGGGCCCUUACAAAAUAAUUUGAGAAGCUGGCAAAAGAAAGAAGUGUUAUAAAAACAAAUCACUGUUCUGUAUCAUUCACAACAUAAAAAGUGGUUAAACUAAUGUUACCUAUAGGAUUUAAGGUAUACACUCAAUAAAAAAAGUUCAGUCUCUAUAAAAUACAGUUUACCUCAGCACACUUUUGCUUCAUCUGCUUGGAUUCCACAGGUUAGAUUUAUAACACAACCAAGGAGACAAGAGUUAUUAUUGAAAUUCCACCUGUCCCCAGUGGUAUGUACCCGAAAACUAUGCCAAGUCUAGCAUGAUGUCAAAAUGAAUUCCCUCACACAAGAGCAGAAUUAGCCUAAGUGCAACGAUUUGAUAUUAUCCAGACACUCUUAGAAAAGGGAGAACAGCUAAACUGGGCUGAAUUUUGAUCAGGGAAAAUAUUAUGCAAAAAUGAGGUGCUAAGUUUUGUUCUGAAUAUUCAUCUCUGACAAAUAUUUAAUCAGUCUUCUCAUUUAGUGCUUAAGUGCAAUGGUGAACUGUUUGUGCAAUGGGGUGACAGUAAUGUAUAUACAAAGCUAUCUUAUUGCAUCCUAAUCAAACAGUACCAUAACCUCUAAGUGGUUAUGCAAAGCAUUAAAGACAAUAUUCAUGGAAGAGCUCCUGGAAGGCUUAACAUCAAAAAAUGACAGAAUAAAACCAUACUCACACAGUAUUAUUGCAAUGCCAGUCCCAAGCUGGUAUUCAAAGAAAACAAAAAUCUCUUUUCUUUAUUCAUCCAUUGGUGGCCAUGUGUACUACGGUAUUCAUGUAUGCUAUUUUUUCCAUAGCAUGUCUGAAAUAGGAACCAUUUGAAAGACAGUUCUGGAUUAGAUUUUCCAAGUUUCCUUACAUUUAUCCUUAAAAAACAAACAAACAAGCAAACAAAACAAAAACAAAACAAAACAAACAAACAAACAAAAAAACACGUUAUCUACAUAUAAGUUGGCAGAGAGGGGAGUUUGAAAUUGAGUGGUUUUUUUUUGUUUUGUUUUUUUGAAGAAAUAUUUGGAAUUUGGUGUCUUUAAAAGUAUUAUUUCCUGUAACUGGAUGUUUAAUUUCAAGAAGAUGAUCCGUAAAGACUGCAGACUUAGAAAGUCAUCCCCUAAGGCCCCCUUAGGAGGUGAAACUAGCCUUCCCUGGGAAGAGGUCUCUCUGCAUGGGUGAAGGGACACUGAAGGAAUUAAUUACAAGGGUAACGUGGGUGUACGUGGUGAAACUGCUUUGUGUGUGUGAGAGACCUUGCAGAGGGAAUAUCAAGAGCAGGAAUGGAAAUACACCAGGAUGAGAUUUGAGUUAGGAGGUUCAGUAGAAAGUGUGAAUAGAUCUUGAAGAGGAUACAACCUCUCUAAUGGUAAUUAAGGGAACAGUGAGAGUGCCAACCAUUAGCACAAGAGUCUACAGUACCCUUUAGUGGCAGUUGUUCCUGAUAUUAAUGGAGAAACAGGUAACUAAUUCAAGGAAAAGCUGUAAAUGGCAUGGUGUGCACAAAUCUUUUGUAAGACACAAAAGAUUGUCACCACUGAGUGAUUUAAUGGAUGACUUCUGUAGCCUAUUGUUUUGUAUUCAAUUGCUGAAUCAUCUCUUUUAGUGUCCAUGAGGUUUAUUAAGGUCAAUAUUUCUUUCUGGUGUCUUAUUGCAAUUGAAUUAAUUAAUGUAAUCCUUAAUAUACAGAUUUUGAAUGGCUAUUUUUUUUUGCCCUGAAAAAGACAUUUAGGUGAGGAUUUUUAGUAUCAGCUUGGGCAGAUUUGUCAAAAAGACACAGAACAAAAAUAGAAAAAAAAAAAAAAAAAGGAAGAAAAAGCUCCAGUAUUCCUUGGCAGAUGAAUCUAUAAAGGCAAAGUGUAUCUGAUGGUUGUAAACAACUUUUAGUGUUCUUUUAAUGCACAGAUUGGCAGAACACUGUUGUUCCUUGAGAACAUAAAAUACAUAUGCGUAAAUAUUGGAAACAUAUUGUAAUUAAAAAUGAUGCUUUAUUAAUAGGUGGUUUGUGGGCUAUGUGAUUCUCCACCCCUGCAAAUUACAAAUAGUACAAACAGCCAUGCUUCGUGAACUGAAACGGUACCAAGAAAUUCAACAUAAGUACAAUCCAUGACAUAUUCAAAUUGGGAAAAAACAUCUGUGUGGAUAAGUGUAUAAACAUGAAAAUAUAUGAGAUUUUGAACUGAAACUCCAAGAAUCUUUAUUUCUAAAAAUGCAAGUUUCAGAUUGAAAUCUACAUAAUUUCCUUAGUAGCAUUGUACAUGCAAUCGUACUUUAAAACUUCUUAUGAAGGCUCUGGUGAGACUUAAUGUUCUGAGGGACCUCCCUUGGUAAGAUUUAACAUUCCUAACACAAUGCCAUUACCCAGGCAGUAGAAGGUGCUCUUGUAACAGCAAACGAGGUUCCUUCAUUUGACCGGUUAGAGCUUAAAAUUAUUCUGCCCCUCAUGUAGCCCAGUAUUUCAAAAGCAAUGGAGCCAAAUGAUUGCACAACCUAAUUGUUUUUAAUCAAGCAAGAUCAGUUGAAGGUUUAGAAAUUUUAUAUAUUAUACAUACAUACACACACACACACACACAUACAUAAAUUCUUUUCAAAAAGUUUCAAUUGGUCUCUUGGAUGUCUUAAGGCAAAGAUUUCUAAAUUGUGUAAAUAUAUCCGAUUAUUGUUAGGAUUGCAUGUGUUUUUAUGUAUGAGGAAUGGUGUGAGGGACUUGGCUCAGAACAAGUAAAUAAAUGUCAGUAUCACACACGUACUUCAUGCAAUACUAGUGUUGACAUAGACCCUAUGGUUUCAGUAUGUAACAGAGGCAAGUUUGCAGGAUUUCAUCACUUUGCCUGGGAGAACAAGUAAUUGGAUAAUAGUUUUCCACGCAUUUAUUCCAGGUCUUAACCUCAGAUAGAUCUUUCCAUAGAAUUUAAACACUGGCUCAGUCCUUUUCCUUAAGCACCACCCAAUAUUCUGGUACAGUCUGGCUCUACAUGACCACUUCCAGCACUUCCACCAUUCCCUUACUCUCCUGAGAGUUCAAGUAUUCAAUAAAUUCUUCAACAGAGUAACUUCAUGGUCUGGGGACUUACCCCCACUGCAUUUACUCACUUUCUCAAGUCCUGUAUCUCCAGCAGCUGUCUUGUCCCACAUACCAGGAAGUUCUGACAGCUCUGAUGGUGAAGAAUAUUUCACUUUUAAAUAGAGGAGAAAAGGUAACUUCUACUAUGUUUAGUUCUUCUUUGUAUCCUUUAGGAGUGAUCAGUGUGAAAUAACUUUCACUGUUUCACAGGGUCAGCUG